GGUAGAGUAGUUUAAUUUAAAACAUCUGACUGUUAAUCAGAAAAUGGGAGAGCUCGUCUGCCU
rnacentral:tRNA from 1 species